rnacentral:rRNA from 1 species
UCNUGGGAUAACACUGACGUUCAUGCCCGAAAGCGUGGGUAGCAAACAGGAUUAGAUACCCUGGUAGUNCACGCCCUAAACGAUGUCGAUUAGCUGUUGGGCAGCAUGACUGCUUAGUAGCGAAGCUAACGCGUGAAAUCGACCGCCUGGGGAGUACGGUCGCAAGAUUAAAACUCAAAGGAAUUGACGGGGACCCGCACAAGCGGUGGAUGAUGUGGAUUAAUUCGAUGCAACGCGAAGAACCUUACCUGGUCUUGACAUGUACGGAACCCUUCAGAGACGGAGGGGUGCCUUCGGGAGCCGUAACACAGGUGCUGCAUGGCUGUCGUCAGCUCGUGUCGUGAGAUGUUGGGUUAAGUCCCGCAACGAGCGCAACCCUUGUCAUUAGUUGCCAUCAUUAAGUUGGGCACUCUAAUGAGACUGCCGGUGACAAGCCGGAGGAAGGUGGGGAUGACGUCAAGUCCUCAUGGCCCUUAUGACCAGGGCUUCACACGUCAUACAAUGGUCGGUACAGAGGGUAGCCAAGCCGCGAGGCGGAGCCAAUCUCACAAAACCGAUCGUAGUCCGGAUUGCACUCUGCAACUNGAG